UCAGGGCUAUGCACUUCUCUGUGUGGGCUUCCCAUCCUCUGAUGUUGAAGUAGAAACACAAGACGAGGAUGAGGUAUAUUGGCUUCAAUUUGGAAGAUAUUUUGCACGUGGUCCAAUUGAAAGGGACGAUUAUGCGUUGGAGUUGGCUAUGGGUGACGAAUAAGGUUAAGCAGAAUUUUGAAUUCAAAAUGAGUUAUCUCUAGCACCAAGGCUGCUUCUUCCAUAUCCUAUAUCUCUCUCCAUCUUGGUGACAUCAAUCUCUUCAGAUGCAUUUUUGCCAUUUAUGUAUAAUUGCUAGUAAUUAUUUGUGCUAUAUAUGUGCUCUGUAUUUUAUAUCUCUUCUGUUCAUAUCUGUUGUGAGUCGUGCUGUGUAUUUUACCUCAAAAAUGUUGACCCAUCACUAUGCACAUUUUAAGGAAAAUCUAUCAUGACUUGAGUUGAUAUAUCAACCUAAGUUGUCAUAAUUUCUAA